UACGGAGGGGGCUAGCGUUGUUCGGAAUUGCUGGGCGUAAAGGGCACGUAGGUGGUUAGGCAAGUCAGACGUGAAAUCCCCUGGCUUAACCAGGGAAGGGCGUCUGAAACUGCUUAACUUGAGUGCGGUAGAGGAGAGUGGAAUUCCCGGUGGAGCGGUGAAAUGCGUAGAUAUCGGGAAGAACACCGUUGGCGAAGGCGGCUCUCUGGACCGCUACUGACACUGAGGUGCGAAAGCUAGGGGAGCAAACGGG
rnacentral:misc_RNA from 1 species